rnacentral:rRNA from 1 species
GGUUAAGCGACUAAGCGUACACGGUGGAUGCCCUGGCAGUCAGAGGCGAUGAAGGGCGUGCUAAUCUGCGAUAAGCGCCGGUAAGGUGAUAUGAACCGUUAUAACCGGCGAUACCCGAAUGGGGAAACCCAGUGUGAUUCGUCACACUAUCAUUAACUGAAUCCAUAGGUUAAUGAGGCGAACCGGGGGAACUGAAACAUCUAAGUACCCCGAGGAAAAGAAAUCAACCGAGAUUCCCCCAGUAGCGGCGAGCGAACGGGGAGGAGCCCAGAGCCUGAAUCAGCAUGUGUGUUAGUGGAAGCGUCUGGAAAGGCGCGCGAUACAGGGUGACAGCCCCGUACACAAAAGCGCAUGUGCUGUGAGCUCGAUGAGUAGGGCGGGACACGUGGUAUCCUGUCUGAAUAUGGGGGACCAUCCUCCAAGGCUAAAUACUCCUGACUGACCGAUAGUGAACCAGUACCGUGAGGGAAAGGCGAAAAGAACCCCGGCGAGGGGAGUGAAAAAGAACCUGAAACCGUGUACGUACAAGCAGUGGGAGCACCCUUCGGGGUGUGACUGCGUACCUUUUGUAUAAUGGGUCAGCGACUUAUAUUCUGUAGCAAGGUUAACCGAAUAGGGGAGCCGCAGGGAAACCGAGUCUUAAUUGGGCGUUAAGUUGCAGGGUAUAGACCCGAAACCCGGUGAUCUAGCCAUGGGCAGGUUGAAGGUUGGGUAACACUAACUGGAGGAUCGAACCGACUAAUGUUGAAAAAUUAGCGGAUGACCUGUGGCUGGGGGUGAAAGGCCAAUCAAACCGGGAGAUAGCUGGUUCUCCCCGAAAGCUAUUUAGGUAGCGCCUCGUGAAUUCAUCUCCGGGGGUAGAGCACUGUUUCGGCUAGGGGGCCAUCCCGGCUUACCAACCCGAUGCAAACUGCGAAUACCGGAGAAUGUUAUCACGGGAGACACACGGCGGGUGCUAACGUCCGUCGUGAAGAGGGAAACAACCCAGACCGCCAGCUAAGGUCCCAAAGUCAUGGUUAAGUGGGAAACGAUGUGGGAAGGCCCAGACAGCCAGGAUGUUGGCUUAGAAGCAGCCAUCAUUUAAAGAAAGCGUAAUAGCUCACUGGUCGAGUCGGCCUGCGCGGAAGAUGUAACGGGGCUAAACCAUGCACCGAAGCUGCGGCAGCGAACGUAUCACCCAAGACAACUUUGCGGAGUUGACGAUUGACGGAGCGAAGCGACGUCAAAGCGUUCAUUAAAGUCGAGUUGGCUUAGGGAUACGUUCGUUGGGUAGGGGAGCGUUCUGUAAGCCUGUGAAGGUGGCCUGUGAGGGUUGCUGGAGGUAUCAGAAGUGCGAAUGCUGACAUAAGUAACGAUAAAGCGGGUGAAAAGCCCGCUCGCCGGAAGACCAAGGGUUCCUGUCCAACGUUAAUCGGGGCAGGGUGAGUCGACCCCUAAGGCGAGGCCGAAAGGCGUAGUCGAUGGGAAACGGGUUAAUAUUCCCGUACUUGGUGUUACUGCGAAGGGGGGACGGAGAAGGCUAUGUUGGCCGGGCGACGGUUGUCCCGGUUUAAGCGUGUAGGUGUGUGUUCCAGGUAAAUCCGGUUCACUUUAACACUGAGGCGUGAUGACGAGGCACUACGGUGCUGAAGCAACAAAUGCCCUGCUUCCAGGAAAAGCCUCUAAGCAUCAGGUAACAUCAAAUCGUACCCCAAACCGACACAGGUGGUCAGGUAGAGAAUACCAAGGCGCUUGAGAGAACUCGGGUGAAGGAACUAGGCAAAAUGGUGCCGUAACUUCGGGAGAAGGCACGCUGACAUGUAGGUGAAGUGAUUUACUCAUGGAGCUGAAGUCAGUCGAAGAUACCAGCUGGCUGCAACUGUUUAUUAAAAACACAGCACUGUGCAAACACGAAAGUGGACGUAUACGGUGUGACGCCUGCCCGGUGCCGGAAGGUUAAUUGAUGGGGUCAGCGCAAGCGAAGCUCCUGAUCGAAGCCCCGGUAAACGGCGGCCGUAACUAUAACAGUCCUAAGGUAGCGAAAUUCCUUGUCGGGUAAGUUCCGACCUGCACGAAUGGCGUAAUGAUGGCCAGGCUGUCUCCACCCGAGACUCAGUGAAAUUGAACUCGCUGUGAAGAUGCAGUGUACCCGCGGCAAGACGGAAAGACCCCGUGAACCUUUACUAUAGCUUGACACUGAACAUUGAGCCUUGAUGUGUAGGAUAGGUGGGAGGCUUUGAAGUGUGGACGCCAGUCUGCAUGGAGCCGACCUUGAAAUACCACCCUUUAAUGUUUGAUGUUCUAACGUGAAUCCGUAAUCCGGGUUGCGGACAGUGUCUGGUGGGUAGUUUGACUGGGGCGGUCUCCUCCUAAAGAGUAACGGAGGAGCACGAAGGUUGGCUAAUCCUGGUCGGACAUCAGGAGGUUAGUGCAAUGGCAUAAGCCAGCUUGACUGCGAGCGUGACGGCGCGAGCAGGUGCGAAAGCAGGUCAUAGUGAUCCGGUGGUUCUGAAUGGAAGGGCCAUCGCUCAACGGAUAAAAGGUACUCCGGGGAUAACAGGCUGAUACCGCCCAAGAGUUCAUAUCGACGGCGGUGUUUGGCACCUCGAUGUCGGCUCAUCACAUCCUGGGGCUGAAGUAGGUCCCAAGGGUAUGGCUGUUCGCCAUUUAAAGUGGUACGCGAGCUGGGUUUAGAACGUCGUGAGACAGUUCGGUCCCUAUCUGCCGUGGGCGCUGGAGAACUGAGGGGGGCUGCUCCUAGUACGAGAGGACCGGAGUGGACGCAUCACUGGUGUUCGGGUUGUCAUGCCAAUGGCACUGCCCGGUAGCUAAAUGCGGAAGAGAUAAGUGCUGAAAGCAUCUAAGCACGAAACUUGCCCCGAGAUGAGUUCUCCCUGAGACUUUAGGUCUCCUGAAGGAACGUUGAAGACGACGACGUUGAUAGGCCGGGUGUGUAAGCGCAGCGAUGCGUUGAGCUAACCGGUACUAAUGAACCGUGAGGCUUAACCUU